UGGGGGAUAUUGCACAAUGGGCGAAAGCCUGAUGCAGCGACGCCGCGUGGGGGAUGAAGGCCUUCGGGUUGUAAACUUCUUUUGCUCUGAACAAGGCAUGCUAAUGGGUGUGUUGAGUGUAGGGGUUGAUUAGCGCCGGCUAACUACGUGCCAGCAGCCGCGGUAAUACGUAGGGCGCGAGCGUUGUCCGGAAUUAUUGGGCGUAAAGGGCUUGUAGGUGGCUGGUUGCGUCUGUCGUGAAAGCUCAUGGCUUAACUGUGGGUUUGCUGUGGGUACGGGCUGGCUUGAGUGCAGUAGGGGAGGCUGGAAUUCCUGGUGUAGCGGUGGAAUGCGCAGAUAUCAGGAGGAAUACCGGUGGCGAAGGCGGGUCUCUGGGCUGUUACUGACACUGAGGAGCGAAAGCAUGGGGAGCGAACAGG
rnacentral:rRNA from 1 species